AGAUCCUGACCGUAAUAAUUCAGGCGGUUACCUCCAAGAUUUAAUCUCAUCCAUUCAAACCCCCAAAAAAUGGCAGUUUUUUUUUCAACGCCAGUUGAAGUUUCCUGUGUUUUCUGCAUGUUUUUCGCUAUGUGGGUACGCUCCCUCAACCGUUGCCUCUAAAAUUAUCAAUAUAAACUCCUUCACAUUCACUUUCAAAUCCUCUUCUUUCUCUCUCUAAAAUUUCUCUGAUUUCGAUUGCUGGUUAUAAUGGAUACAAUCACAAAUCCAAAUCAAUAAACCCAGAUCAACAUGAUGAAACAUAUCAAUUCAAUUGCGGCGUUUCUAGAAGUGAUUAUCAUGUCGUUGCUGAUGAAUCUCAACCUCAGCCAAUCAACCGAUACUGCUUCCCACUUGACUUCGCUGCUUCUUCACAUGAGGAAAUCCUAGAAGCGAAAUCUCAACCUCAGGGUCAAAGCUGCCUCUUAAACAAGUCAAAAUUGUCUAAGAAAUUGGCUGCCUAUCAGUAUGGAGCAACAAGGGUGGAUACUGAUCUUGCUGGCUAACGGUUCUGGCAGCGAAAAGGAGAUCAAAAGGCCAUCGUAUGGCUUCAUUAUCGUACAUGGGUAAGUUAAAUCUCCUUCUGAUUAUGUUUGGAAUUCAUUAAUCUUAAUUCUGCAUAUAGGGUUCUUGGUAAUUAGACUUGCCGAU